AAGCUUCAACUUGAGAGCCUGAUUCUUUCUGGAUUUGGCAGUGGGGGCAGACCCUAAAAUUGAGUGCCAGGAACCUACAACAAGCUUUCAUGCGAAGAAGCUGAAAGUCACAAAGCCUGAGUGACUUGCCCAAGGCCACACAGAAACCAGUGUUCAGUCCAGACACUGUGGACCCAGAGCAGAUGCUUGGCCGCUCCACCUAUCUCCACAAAAAGGAGCAAGGAAAAGAGUGAGCUUCAUCUUAGAGGCUGGCAAGAUCUCAAAUCAGGGCUGCUCUAUCACCCUGGGUCCUAGAGUAAAGUGGCCGGGAGCGCAGCAGAGCUGGCCCACCAUGGACUGCAUUGUGAGUGAGAAAGAAUCAUUGCUGUGGCCGGCCACCAAGAUGUUGGGCUCCAAGCAAGGUGUCCAGUAAAGGGUUACUGGCUGACUGAAUGAAUGAAUGAACUCUCUGAGCUGUGACUUGUCCAUUUGUAAAAUGGGAAUAAUAUUUGUAAAAUGGUUCCUCCUUUAUAGGGUUGUUGAGGAGUCUAAAUGAUGCCUAGCACAAGGCAUGACACCUACCACCUAAGAAUUCAAUACAACUUAACUAUUAUUAUUAUAAGCCAUAGGAAAGGUAAAUACAGUAUAUAAUAUACAGAGAAAAAGCUUACUUCUCACUAUGGGGAUUGGAGGAAGCUAGCUUCAUGGCAGAAGUGACUUGAAUGGACUUUGAAGAAUGCAUAGGAUCUGGACUUGGACAUGAGGUGCAGGGAAAGACAUUUUAGACAAAGGGAACAGCAUGGAUAAAGAUACAGAGACAGUUUAAGUCUUAAAAUCUUAAUCUUUCCUCAGUUGUACCAUUUCUAGGGUCAGAUCUAAGGAAAUAAUUCUAAAUAUAGAAAAAACAUUAUGUGUAAAGAUGUCCACUGCAGUGUUGUUUAUAAAAGUGAAAACAUAAAAAUAACUGAUAUGCCCAACAAUAAGGAAGUAGUUAAAUGAAUGCUCUUCUGUUCAUCUGAUAUAUUGUCAUGUCUAUUAUAAUUAAAUAUAUAAGAAGUAAUAAAAGAAAAUGUUUAUGAAUGAUGCUAUGUGAGAAAUAAGAGAAAAUGAAUAAUCAUUAUAGUUACAAUUAUAUAAAAACAAAUUCCAAAACCAAAAGUAAUAUUCGGAAAGUCUAGGAGGAAAUAUACCACAAUAUUAAUAGGAGUAUCUUUGAAGUAAUGGCCUUUGGUGACUGCUUUGGGAUAUUGAAAGCAAUCUUUCUUACAUUUAUCAUUUUUUUAUUAUCAUAGCUAAACUUUACUGAGCACUUCCUAUGUACUAGGCAGUGCACUAUUUUACACACAUUACCCAACUUAAUCCAUACAGCCCUGUGAGGAAGGUUAUCUUAUUAGCCUCUUACCAAUAGGGAAACCGAGACUUCUCUAUUUACACAAUGAGCAUAUGUUACUUUUUUUUUUUGAGACAGGGUCUCACUCUGUCACCCAGACUAGAGUGCAGUGGCACCAUUACAGCUCACUGUAGCCAUGACCUCCUGGACUCAAGUGAUCCGCCCACCUCAGCCCCCCAAGUAGCUGGGACUAUAGGUACAUGCCACCAAGCCCAGAAAAUUUUUAAAAAUUUUUGGUAGAGAUGGUGUCUUGCUAUAUUGCUCAGGCUACUUGCAAACUCCUGGGCUCAAGCAAUCCUCCCACCUUGGCCUCCCAAAGUUACAGGGUUACAGGGGUGAGCCAUCAUGCCCGGCCUAUUACUUUCAUUAUAGGAAAUAUUUACUACAUUUAUUUAAUAUUUUGUUAUUAAAAGACUAGAGAUGUCAGUCCCUCCUUUUUUUUUUUGCUACUUCAAACAGUGUUAUAAUAAGCAUCGCUGCACAUAUUUUCUCAUUAUUGCUACUCUUAUUUCUGUAAAUUACAUUUCUUAAAGUGAUAUUUUGGGUCAAAAUAUAUGUGUGCCUUUUUUAUUCUGAACUAAUUUUAGACUUACAGAAACGUGCAAAUAUCACACAGAGAUUGGCAAUAAAAAGGAAUCAAAUACUGAUACAAGUACAAUUUGGAUGAACCUGGAAAACAUUAUACAAAGUAAAAGAAAGCCAGGAACAUAUUAUAACAUUCCAUUUAUACAGAAUGUCUGGGAAUCAGUAAAUCUAUAAAAACAGAAAGUAGAUUGGUGGUUGCCAGGGCCUGAGAGGCAGGUAGGGAAUGGGGAGUGACUGUUUAGUGGGUUCAGGGUUUCCUUUUGAGGUGACAAAAAUAUUCUGAAAUUAGAGAGUGGUGAUGUUUGCACAACUCUGUAAAUAUAACAAAAGCUCUGAAUUGUAUACUUUAAAAGGGUGAACUUUAUGGUCUAUGAAUUAUUUCU
ensembl:lncRNA novel transcript, antisense to DUPD1